GCUUCCAACGCCAUUCUCUCAUUUUCCCAUGGAAAGCUAAUUGUCUUUCAUUUUCUUUCCUUGUUUUCUUUUCAUUUCUUUUCUCUUCUUGCUUCAUUCUUCUCCCAACUUCUUGUGCACCAAAGUUACAACUUCUAACCCCAAUUUCCAGCACAUAUCAACUCUAGGAGAAGAAGAAAGAAAAAGCCUGGUUUUGGUGAUUCAAGCAAGGAACAGAAGUGCAAAGAUAAAGUUAGAGAACUGUGGUAGCAUGCCGGAAUAAAUAAUGAGCUAUCAGCCAGUGAAACUAGUUAGAGACACCUCUGAAAAAAUAACGACUUCAAAUCUCAAUGUUGCCAGAUUCAAGGGUGGUUGAGACGUAGAUUGAGGUGUCCACAUACUCCCAUCUUUUGAGUUGGUACUUUGACAUUCAAUAGUCAUAUCUCCCAUCAAGAGUCACUCCGCUGACGGUCAAGUUUUAAUUACAUGUAUAUGAUUAUUAGUUGUGAAAGGCUGAGAUUCACUUGUCAAAUUAUAUUUAUGUAUAUAAUGGUUGAUGAUGCCAUUAUCAAUACAUGACUGGGUUUUAUGAGUUGUUUUCAAAGGAAUUGUAAUUGAGCAUUAUGAAUUUCGGAUUCUAAAGGAAUAUGGGUUAACGUAUAAGAUCAUGUAAGUAAGCUUGCUUGGGCUUGGUGGGUUGAGCCCAUUGGUCCCUUGCGCCAGUCAUGGCCCGAAAAUUGGGUUGUGACAAACUUGGUAUUAGAGCUCUAGGUUUAGUUGAAUCCUAGGGAUUUCCUGUGUGGUUAACGGAGUUGUUGGAGUUUGUGUAGAGUCUUGUCCUUGGAUUGUGGGUGCGCAAAGCAAGUUAAGGACGGGAGGCUACUUGAGCCCCUACUUCAUUAGAAACCCACCUGUUAUUAUGA